GACUAUAAAGAAUAUGACGAGACGCAUGAAGCUUUUUUCCAGGUUCGUUGCCGUA
rnacentral:sRNA from 1 species